GUGCCGUGCGAGUGCGGAAGCAGCAGCCAUAGCUCCCCGUUUACGCAGGACUUGCUUCUCCGAGGCGGGCGCGCACUUUGGAGGAAGAGAUCGACACGGAGAGGAGAGGAGGUGGCUGGGAGGACCCCUGGCUAGGGGAGUCACCCCAGACUGCUCUCUGAGGCUCGGCUGCCGCAUCGCAACGGCCUUUCUUCGUGCGGGGUCUGUGGGAUCAUCCGUGGACAGCUCACAGAGCAAGCGCUCAGUAAACGAGAAACCACGUGAAAAAGGGAGGCCCAGAGGAAUGAGGCCCACGAGCAAAGAGAAGCCUCGGAGGCUGGAAGAGCAGGAGCAGACAGACAAUCAAGGCCGACUCGGCUCUUGCAGAUGAAAGCGCAGCCCCUCAGCACUGCACAACCUGUGGAACAGAGACGCGUCCUGGCCGAGCCUGCCCAGCCAACCCACAGAAUGGAGAGCUGUGAGUGGCGACGGUGGUUCGGAGCCAGCCUUCGGAGUUAACCAGACCUGGGUUGGAAGGUCAGCCCAGUCACCGCGUUUAUCAGGGCCAAUUAAACAAUUGUGAAAGUGGCUCUUGUGUAUAUGAAGUGGACCUUAAAAAGCAAUGAGAAAUCAAAGUACGUGCAUUUCACUUCCAGAAUGGUAAGGUGCUGCCCAGGCCGCUUUUCUGCUAAAUAGGCAUAACUGGGGAAAAUGCAAAAGACAACAACCACUUGAAGCCGCUGGGAAUUACUCUAAGGGCAUACAGUAUGCAGAAAAUUUACUCAAGAAUAUCUAUGAGAAAUCAGUAAGAACAGUAAGAGUCUGUGUCAUUUGAACCACGACCCACUUCCUCCUCCAGACUCCAUCCCGGGUGGGCGUGACAGACUCCAUCCAGGUGAGUGCAGCUGAGAACACAGGGUCCUGCUCCCCUCAGUGCUCAGUUGAGGGCUAUGGCAUCUCCCAGGGAGGGGCAGGCCGCCAACGUGUGUCGUCCUCCCCAGCUCAGUUGCAAAGACUAAAUUCCGGGCAGGCGCAGCUGGGUCAGGGAAUCCCUUCUACCCGUCCCACAGUCAGUCGUGGCGCUGAGAGUACUGGGCCAAUUUGCCCUGACUCAGCUUGUUCACAGGGCAGAGGCUCCAUAUUGGGAGAGACAAUCUGGGGAAACCGGAAGCUGCCAUCCCAUCCUGGACCCUGCUCCUAAAGCAGGAGUCACUUGAGAAGCAGCCACUGUCCCCAUCCCCAGCUGUGGAAUGUGGCUCAGAGAUUUUGCCCAGAGGGACAGGCCUUCCAAAGAUCUCCUUAUCUGAAACUUAGUGUGGGGAAUUUUAAGCCUAAAGACACUCUCAUAAGCAAUGGAAAUUUCAGUGGUCAGCAAGUAAAAGGAGGCUUUAUGGAGAGAUCCAAACUAAACAAUAGCCCAGUUAGUUUAUAUGAGUGAAUCAGGGAAGAGACAGCUAAGAAGAGCCCUUCUGGGGUCAGAGCAAAGCUCAAACUCUGACUGCAAAAACUACCCCUGCAAAAGAACCCAAAUGUAAUUGGAUCAGACAGUGAAACAGUUUAUGCCCCAGGGUAUUAUUGAAAGCAAUGGAGCAAUCAAAGAGCAAUCGACAAGCAGUUAGUGGACUGACACUGGGGAGGGGGGAGGCCUGUGGUGGGGCGGUCAGGGAAGGAGCCUGUCAGAGGAAGCAAAGCCCUGUUCAAACAGCUCCCAUCCCACCUGACUGCUCACGUUCUUUUUUUUACUUUGGAGAUCAGUCGGAAAGUUUUAUUUCAGAAACUUAAAUCAAGCCAGUUAACUGAACAUACUGAUAGCAGUAAAAAGGGAACCAAAAAGUAACGCUAGGAGUAAAAAGAUAACUGAGCAAAUCGGUACACAGCAACCAGAACGGCAUGCAGAGAGAGGACAGGAAGAAGUGGUGCCAUUACUUUUCUCACUGGUAAAAGGAAAAAACAAUAACUGCACUGCCGUCAUGAUGCUUGGGCUUCUUGUACCUUUGCUGUUUCAUGAUGAAUUAUAUUUGUAGCUAUUUUCUGCCAAAUCAUUUGUGAUUCCUUGAUUCUAGUCCUACCUUCUUCCUAUCUGAGACAUUCUUAUACUCUCCUCCAGAGUAUAUCUAGAGUGAUCUAGAAUGAUAGAAUCCCAAAAGGCAAGAAACCACACCAGUCACAUCACGUGACCACCUCCUCAGGGCAUGAUGUGCGACCUCACAACGCAGCUGUGAGGAGAGAAGCAUGCUGGACCGGGAGUUACAAGAUCAAAAUUCUAGUUCCAUCUUGGAGUCACGAUCCACGAGUUGCUUUGGAGAGGGACCGCUCACAUUCUAAGUCUGCACCCUCUGAGAAGCAACACAGAGGCUUCAAGUCACAAAAUAGAUAAACAAGCAAGCAAUAACAAUAAUGCUUGGGGAGAGGACCAGUACCCAGACUUGCUAUGAAAACGUCCAGUUGUCAACAAGAAAUUGUGAGACAAAGAAACAGCAAGGUGUGACCUACAUGCGUUCAAAAGCAGGCAGCAGGAAGUGCCCGCGCGAGAGACCAGAUGUGGAGUUAACAGAGCUAUAUAGGAGUAACGUUUCUGUAUCUCACUGGAAUUAAGUUAUUAUAAAUCUGAAGUAGAUUCUGAUACCUUGAGAUGUAAACACUAAGAAUAUAUACAUAUACACACCCCUUGGGAAUAUAGGAACAAAAAGAAGAUGAGACCUACAGAAAACAAAAAGUAAGGUAUCAGAUGUAAACACAACUAUAUCAAUUUUAACAUUAAAUAUUGAUAGACUUUGGGUAACAAUCAAAUGAAGAGGGAGAGAUUAUCAGACUGGGUAAAGACGCAAGAUCUAACCAUACGCUGUCUACCAGAGAUACUUUAGAUUCAAAGAUAUGAGUAGGUUGAAAGUAAAAGGAUGGAAAAAGACCAUGCCAACAGCAACCAUAAGAAAGCUGUACUGACUUUACUAAUAUCAGACAAAUAGCCUUUAAAACAAACAAAAUGUUACUAGAGGUAGAAAUAUUUUAUAAUGAUUAAAAGGUCAAUAAUAUAAUAAUAACAGUUAAAAACAUGUAUGUACUUAAACAGGGAGAAAUAGACAAUUCAACAAUAAUAGUUUGAGACUUUCAUACCUAACUUUCUUUUUUCCUUUCUUUUUUUUAAAGUGACAGAUCUCACUCUGUUGCCCAGGCUGGAGUGCAGUGGUGUGGUGAUCACGGCUCAGUGCAGCCUCCUACUCUUGGGCUUAAGUGAUUCUUUCACCUCAGCUUCCCAAGUAGCUGGGAAUAUAGGCAUAUGCCACCAGGCUG